GCCGGGCAUGGUGGCGCAUGCCUGUAAUCCCAGCUACUUGGGAGGCUGAGGCAGAAGAAUUGCUUGAACCCAGGAGGUAGAGGUUGCAGUGAGCCGAGACUGUGCCACUGCACUUUAGCCUGGGUGAUAGAGCAAGGCUCCAUCUCAA
rnacentral:SRP_RNA from 1 species